AUGUGUAAAAGCUAUCCCUGUGAUAAUAAGAAAAAUAAUUAACAAAAUUCUUAUAGGCUUAUAGGAAGAAAAUAAACUAUGUCAAUACUACCACGUUAAUUCAAACUUAACGGGAUAAAAUUGGAUUCAUAUAAGGUUCACACAAUGGGAACAUGAAACAAAAUUAACAGCCAGUGUCGUUGAGGCAUCAUGCGAAUUAACUUGCUUCAACUUUACCAACUAAACCAUAAGUAAAGAUUGUAUGUAGUAUGUACUGAAUAGUGUUCGUGGCCUUGAAAUUAUCUAGAUAUAUUUUUCAAGCUACUGCUUUGAAAAUAACUGCACAAUGCAAUCCUGAAUACUGAAAUGGGUAGUGCAUUGCCGAACAGAUGCUGCUUCUGAAACACUGAACUGAUGCUGCUGUUCUAGCAAACUAAGAGAAAAGGAAAGAGACAGGAGCACGAGCUAAAGAGAAUAAUUCUUGGAGGAAAACACAAGUGCAGAUCAAAGCAGUCGAUUGUAUUGAAAGGAUUCGGCUGAACUGAACAGGAUCCUUCUAUGGCCUGACAAAACUACAAAUGACUCAAGCAACUUGCUGCUCCUCUGAACUGAACCCAAGCAGUUCUGCUAUUAUACUCCUUAGGAAAUCGAAGAUGCAGAGCAGUAGCUACAGAACAACUAUUCUAGAACUUAGGGCGAAACUGAAAACAACGGGCACUGUACUGCCAUCAUAGAUCGACAAGCAAGUUGCUGCUAGGACUGCUGUGCUAUUCCUGCAGAAGACAAGCAUAGACAAAGGAGCAGACAUGAAUACAAGCUGCUGAAAAUAAUUUCUACAAGAAAAAAUGGGCUGCAUAUUGAUCAAGUGGCCCAGCAGAAGCACGCUGAGAUUAAAUUGAAAAGAUCCUGCUAAGCUUCACAACAAUCACUGUGUUGCGCCUUCACUGAACCUGAUCGAUGCAGUUGUGGUGCUUUUGUUCAUGAAACAUUGUUGUUUCGGAAACAAUACAGGAAAUAGAAGCUAACCAAUGUGCACCAAAACAAAAUUCCAGUUAUCACAUCCUUGCACCAUCACGAGAAACCAAACCCAACUUGAUCCAUCCAAAAAAUAUUGAAACUUUCUCACAAAUUUCAGAAUCCAGCAAAAACAGGGGGAAAAUACAGUUUUACAUUCAAGGUAGCAUCCAUAUCUAUGUUUAUUGUCAAAAAAAAAUUAAAUAGUGCAAAAAAAAUAGUUAGCAUGAAGUUCACAGAACUCCACAAAUUGUUAGUUAUUUUCGUGAUGUAAAUAAUCCAAGUAUAUUUGGCUGAAUAUCAUAAUACCUUAUUAUAUACAUAGAAAAGGCUAGAUAAGUGUAAAUAAUAAAUGAUCAAACCUUGUGGGAGACAGUCAUAUGUAGAAACUUUGUUCUGUUUAUGCUCUUCUAACUGAUUAUCAUCAUCUAAUAAUUCAGCCACAUGCUUAUCUACAAUUUAAGAAAUUAGGAAUACAUGAAUUAGUGUUACAAUGAAAAGGAUAUAUGACACAAAAGUACAUAUAGAUGACAAAUUUACCUUGUGGCACAUGCAUAGUCAUAUGUAUCAACUUUGAUCUGUUUGUUUUCUUCUAAUUGCUGAUCAUCAUCUAUUUCGCUUUGUUCUGUUUGUGCUCUUCUAAAUGAUUAUCAUCAGUAAUUGGAGAUAAUGUUUUGUGGAUGCUUGGAGAUGCAGGUGAAGGUAUUGGAUCACUAAUUAACUUGAAUCCUUCUGGUUCAGAAUAUCAAAAUCCUCGACAGCACUUAAUUCAAGUAUUCAACAAUAUGAUCUAUUCU
rnacentral:lncRNA from 1 species